GUACACUCCUGCGGGAGGCAGCAGUGGGGAAUAUUGGACAAUGGGCGCAAGCCUGAUCCAGCCAUGCCGCGUGAGUGAUGAAGGCCCUAGGGUUGUAAAGCUCUUUCACCGGUGAAGAUAAUGACGGUAACCGGAGAAGAAGCCCCGGCUAACUUCGUGCCCGCAGCCGCGGUAAUACGAAGGGGGCUAGCGUUGUUCGGAUUUACUGGGCGUAAAGCGCACGUAGGCGGACUAUUAAGUCAGGGGUGAAAUCCCGGGGCUCAACCCCGGAACUGCCUUUGAUACUGGUAGUCUUGAGUUCGAGAGAGGUGAGUGGAAUUCCGAGUGUAGAGGUGAAAUUCGUAGAUAUUCGGAGGAACACCAGUGGCGAAGGCGGCUCACUGGCUCGAUACUGACGCUGAGGUGCGAAAGCGUGGGGAGCAAACAGGAUUAGAUACCCUUGUAGUCCCA
rnacentral:rRNA from 1 species